AUGAAGCAAGAGAUUGAGAGAUUGAGGCUAUGGCAGAAAGUCAUGGAGGAGCAGCGACCAAGACUGGCCUGGAACAACAAACCUAUUGAGACAGGAAGAGAGAGGGAAAAAGAGAGAGAAAGGGAGAUGGAAAGUGAGAGAAAAGCAGAAUUGGAAAAACAAGAAAUGAAGAAGAAAGUGGAACAGGCAGAAGAAACGAUAAAAGCGUUAGAACGAGAGAUUGAGAGAUUGAAAGAGAUUGAGAAGGAAAUCAUAUUUGAAAGAGAAAGAGACAUGCGUAUUGCAGAGAAUGAGAAAGUCAAACUGGUCAACGAAAAGGUAAAAGAGUUGGAGAGAGAGGUUGAGAGACUGAAAGAAGAUAUGACAACAAAAGAGAUUCAAUACAAAAUCAAAUUUGAAAGAGCGAAAGAAGCGUUUAGAAGACAGAAUGAGAGAGUGAAACAGGUUAACCAAAAUGUACUAGUGUUAGACAGAGAGGUUGUGAGAAUGAAAGAAGAGAUUAGAUUGAAAGACGAGACUGAACCAGAGAGAACAUUUGAUAGAGACAGAGAGAGAGAAAAUGAUUGGAGACGAAGUGAAGAGGAGUUGAAAAAUAGAGUGGAGAGAGAGAUGGAGAUGGAGACAGCCCUCAUCAAUGACAAAAAUACGUCUGAAUUGGAGGAAGUCUUCAAGAAAAUCAAGGAACAGCAGAUAGAAUUAGAAAAUAUGGAAACAGACAAAUAUAAAUGGAAACAGAACCAAAUGGACAUGGAGGAGAAGAUGGAGGGUGAGCACAACAAACAGAAAGAGGUAGAAAGAAAGAGAAUGGAGAAAAUACCAAAACAGAGACAAGAAGAAGAUGAGAAGAAGAAGGAGAUGGAGAGAGAAGAAGAAGAGGAGAGACGCAAACAGAAGCACAUAGAGAUGGAAGAGGAAGAAAGAGAGAGGGAGAAAGAGAGACAGAGACAGAUCAAAAGGAAGAGAAUGGAGAAGAGACAGAAAAUUAUGGAAAGAGAAGAAGAGAGACAGAGAGAGAUUGAAAGAGANNNNNNNNNNGAAGAAGAAAGAUGUAAACAGAAGCAAAUAGAGAUGGAAGAGGAAGAAAGAGAGAGGGAGAAAGAGAGACAGAGAGAGAUCAAAAGAAAGAUAAUGGAAAAGAGACAAAAACAUAUCGAAAGAGAAGAAGAGAGACAGAAAGAGAUUGAAAGAGAGCACGAAGAAGAAAGAUGUAAACAGAAGAAAAUAGAGAUGGAAGAGAAAGAAAGAGAAGAAGAGAGACAGAGAGAGAUUGAAAGAGAGCACGAAGAAGAAAGAUGUAAACAAAAGCAAAUAGAGAUGGAAGAGGAAGAACGAGAGAGGGAGAAGAGACAGAGAGAGAUCAAAAGAAAGAUAAUGGAAAAGAGACAAAAACAUAUCGAAAGAAAAGAAGAGAGACAGAAAGAGAUUGAAAGAGAGAAUGAAGAACAACUAUUUAAACAGAAGCAAAUAGAGAUGGAAGAGGAAGAAAGAGAAGAAGAGAGACAGAGAGAGAUCAAAAGAGAGAAUGAUGAAGAAAUAUGUAAACAGAAGCAAAUAGAGAUGGAAGAGAAAGAAAGAGAAGAAGAGAGACAGAGAGCGAUCGAAGAGAAAGAGAGACAGAGAGAGAUGGGAGAGAAAGAAAGACGACAACAACAAGAGGAGAGAAAGAUAAUGUUUGAGAGAGAUCAAGAAGAAGAAAAUAUAUGGAAACAGAAGCAAAUUGACAUGGAGAAGGAGGGAAGAGAGAGGGAGAACAAGAGACAGAGAGAGAUAGAAGAGAUACACAGACGACAACAACAAGAGGAGAGACAGAAACAAAUGGAGAAGGAGAAAGACAAUGACAAUCAGAGAGAGAUGGAAUUAAAAGAUCAGCAACAGAAAGAGAUGGAGAAAGAAAAGAUGAUUAUGAGAGAAAGGGAGGAAGCAGGAAGAAGAAAGGAAGGGCAGAAAAAUAUUUUGGGGGAAAUUGAGGGACAGAAUGAACUGGAGAUAGAACAGGAGAGAGAGAUGGAAGAAAAGCAGGAAGUGAUUAAGGAAGCAGAGGAAGAGUACAGGGAAAGAGAAGAGAGAGGAAAGGAAGUAAGCAUGAAGAAACAUGUAGUAGUUAAUGUUAAAGCAAAAGCACGGGAAGUCUUCAAUAGGCGUAAAGAGAGGAGGUUAGAAGUGUUGAAGGGGGAGCGAGAACACAUAGAAAGAGGACAACAAAUCAGGAGGGAGAAGGAGGAAAGACGGCUGGAGAUGGAAAGAAAACAGGAGAGGGCAAGACAACAAGAGGAGCAGGAUAAAAAACGAGAGAUUGAAAUUGCUAGACAGAAAGAAAUGUUGAGACUAAGAGAGGAGGAGAGGCAGAGAGAGGAAGAGAGAGAGGAGGAGAGAAAGAAAGCCAUUAAAUGCCUUUUAUCUUUAAUCAGAGAGAGAGAAGAAAUAAUACAGGCAAAAAAAAGAGAGGAGAUGGUGGAAGAGGAAAGAAGGGAGAUCCUUGAGUACAAGAGGGGUGAGUUAGAGGAGGAGGAGAAGGAAGAUGACAAGGAGGACAUUCUCCCACUUGAUAAAAGUAUCCGAAGGAGAGCUGUGGGCUGGGUAAACAAGAAGUGGGAGAAGAGGAACAUCAGAAAGAUAGAGAGAACGUAUCAGAGAGAGGCUGAGGAGGGCCAUAAGAUCGUCCACAUAGCCAUCCCUGGACACACAAGGCUAACAUCCACCAUGACCCGGGCAGAGAGAGAGAGGGAGAAGAGGAAGGAGCUGCUGAAGGCUGAGGAGAGAAGGAAGAAGAUGGAGGAUUUCAAUAAGCAGUGGAGAGAGCGGUCCCUGCUUAAAAAACAGACUCAUCAACAACUGAAGGAGGAGAGGGAGAGGAUGAAGGAAAACUACCUGGAGCAGAUGAAUCUGGAGGCUGAUGCUCAAAUCAACACCCGGUGUCUAACCACCCAACACAGCCACGAUUACAACCACGGUCAGGAGUUGCCCGGGUGGGCCAAUGGCCAACAAGUAAGCCAAGAGCCAACUGGAUCUGCUGAUGGCCACCAGGAAAGGCCAAGGAGGCAACAGGCAUGGGCAGAGAACCAGGAGGGGAGUUCAGAGAACCAGCAGGAGGGGCCAGAGAACCAUCAGGGGGGGCCAGACAGCCAGCAGCUAGAAGCUCCAGAAGAGGUUGAAAAAUCAGAGCGAAUCUCCAAGACAAAGAAAAAGCCAAGCAUCUGGAAGAAAAUUAGGAUGAGUCUUCCUGACGUGCUGUCUGCCUAGAGCUGGAACUCGAUGAAGCCACAGUUCCACUGAGGUUACGUUGGUAAUUAAAAGUGUCGCCCAAUAAUUCCUCCUCCUCUUUAAGUCAUCGAGCCACAUUUCUUCCUCAAAACAUUAUAGUCUCCUCAAGCCAGCAAGUAUCCUCUUUAUCAGGCAACAAACCAUCGAAGGUCAGUGACCCUCCUCCCAAGAACAGAGACUCUCAUCUGUAUCCUAGUUAAAUUCAUCUCUGCUUACCACCUCUACAGUCCUAGAAAAUAUCCCAAAAAUGGAAAUGGUUUCAACAGAAGUCCUCUCCUGUUAAGGGGAGGUGCUGAAAAGGAGGUCUGGGAGGAGGUCUGCAGGUAGCCUGGACCGGACCAGUAGCAGCUAAGUUGCUGGCUCCAUCCCCGGGCAGAGCUGCUCAAGUCAGGCCAGUGAUGUUUGAUGAUGUCAUUUUUGUUUGCAAAGUUUUAUUCUUUAAUAAAAGCAUUUAUUAAAAAAGCAAUAUUGUUGUUACGGUGUGGAUUGUUUUGUUAUUUAUUAGAAUUGAAACAUCCAGUAGUCAUGGUAGAUGUUAGACUUUCAAUGAGACACCUAACAUUCCAUCAGUUUGAUACAAUGUGUGACAUGUUAUAUUAGAGAGGAGUCCUCUAUACACAUCUAUUUUAGACCAUAGGAGAAAUAUCAGAUUGAAAUAGCUUCUCUAAGAGUCUGAGGAGAGAGCAACAGUAGAAGCAUCGUUAGCUCUCCCACCUCCAGUUCAGUACUCGGGUCAUUCCACCAAUUGAGCACCUUUUGGGGAGUGUAACUUUAUAUUUCACCUAAUUCUAACAUUCUGUCAUAAAGAGCACAUGUUCAACUUAAUAUAAAACAUAUUUUCCCAUCUCAAAGUAACAAAUACAUACUAUAGUAAGUGCCUAUUAAGUGCCAAAUAAAGUGACAGGGUUGACUGUAACAGAGUUGACUAUUUCAUCUAGAAUCAACCAUAGAUCCCCAUGUGACAGGGGGAAUGGAAUGCAAGCUUACCAAACACAUGUAAAUAGUUUAAACAUGUCUAGACUGUCUAUCUAUAGGUAACAGGGUUGUGGUGUUAUUAUUAAAAGAUUAGUUCACCGUUUUUAUUGGUAAAUCAAAAUUGGUUGAUUCAAUCAUACAUUGUUUUACAGAGGUGAAGUUAGCUUUAUAUUAAAGAUUCAGACUUUGCUCUUCAAUAAUACCUCAAAUAAAAAAAAAAUUAUAUAUAAAUGUAAUAUUCUAAAUUGGCUGAUGAUAGUGAAUAAGUUAAACCCCUUGUUUUUACCAUUCGGUGUCAUAAUCACUUUUUGGAGGUGAAAUGUAGCUAAAAAUGUGCCAUCCUCUGUUCAGAGGGUUAAGGGACCGUCUUAAAACUGCAUCGCAUACAAUUGCCUCUAAAUGAAAAAUAUCAAUACCUUCUCAACGACAUGACAUAGAGAUCUCAAACAAAUUUGACACUGUAAAGAGACCUCUUUUCUCGAAUGCAAUUAGUUACAUUAUUUUUACUUCUUAAAAUCUACAAAAUGUAAAAUAAAUCACUUUACAAUAAAAACAUCAAUAUCUUCCCCUCCAUAUAACUUUCAUGAAUACAACCAACUGUUAUUGGUUCAGGGACCUCAUGCCUCCAAUCAAUAGCAAUAACUUUUGUAUUUUUUGACUUUGGUGAUAUUCUACCAACUUAAAUUGACUUUAUGUUAAAAAUACUUUCUUAAAACGUCAAUAACAUAUCCGUUAUUUUACCACGUAAAUUGACUGAGAAUACGUUCUCAUUUGCAGUAAUGACCUGGGGAAUAGUUACAGGGGAGAGGAGGGGAUGAAUGAGCUAAUUGUAAACUGGGGAUUAUUAAGUGACUGAAAUGGUUUGAGGGCCAGAUUGGGAAUUUAGCCAGGACACCGGGGUUAACACCUUUACUCUUACGAUCAGUGUCAUGGGAUCUUUAAUGACCUCAGAGAGUCAGGACACCCGUUUAACAUCCCAGCCAAAAGACAACACCCUACACAGGGCAGUGUCCCCAAUCACUGCCCUGGGGUAUUGGGAUAUAUAUAGAUAUAUAUACCGGCUAUGCCGGUAAUACUGUAAAUCCCGGUAUGAGAGAAGGAUGGUAUGACAAUAUGAAAAUCUGGAUACCGCCCAAGCCUAAUCACCACAACUACCACGCCUACAUACCUCAUCUACCAAACCUACCUACCACAACUACCUACCACAACUACCACACCUACCUAUCACAACUACCACAUCUACCUACCACAACUACUAUAACUACCACUCCUACCUACACACCUACCUACCACAACUACCACAUCUACCUACCACGCCUACCUACUACAAUUACCACACCUACCAACCACAACUACCACACCUACCUACUACAACUACCACACCUAUCUAUCACAACUACCACAUCUACCUACCACAACUACCACGCCUACGUACCACAUCUACCAAACCUACCUACCACAACUAUCACGCCUACCUACCACAACUGCCACACCUACCUACUAUUGUGUUAAAUGUACUAUGGUGUUAAAUGCUGAGCUGUAGUCGAUAAACAGCAUUCUUACAUAGGUAUUCCUCUUGUCCAGAUGGGUUAGGGCAGUGUGCAGUGUGAUUGCGAUUGCCUACCACAACUACCACACCUACCUACCACACCUACCUACCACUACUACCACACCUACCUACCACAACUACUACACCAACCUACCACAUCGACCAUCACCACAACUAAAAAACCUACCAUCAACAAACCCACCUAACACAACUACCACAUAUACCUACCACAACUACCUACCACAACUACCACACUUACCUAGCACAACUACCACACUUACCUAGCACAACUACCACAACUACCACAUCUACCUACCACAACUUCCACGCCUACGUACCACAUCUACCAAACCUACCUACCACCACUACCAUGCCUAUGUACCACAUCUACCAAACCUACCUACUACAACUACCACACCUACCAACCACAACUACCACACCUACCUACUACAACUACCACACCUACCUACCCCAACUACCACACCUACCUACCACAACUACCACCCAAUGUACCACAACUACCCCACCUACCUACCAAAACUACCAUACCUACCUACCACAACUACUACACCAACCUACCACAACUACCAUCACCACACCUACCAAACCUACCAUCACCACACCUACCAUCCCUACCAUCCCCACACCUACCAUACCUAACUUCACCACACGUACCCUCCCUACCAUCACCACACCUGCCAACACCACACCUACCACACCUACCAUCACCACACCUGCCAUCACCACACCUGAGUAGAGUACCACAUCACUGCUUGCCUUUCUUUACACAGCAGCUUUAAUGGGAAAUCCAACACUGACCAAUAAUGUGUUAUUUUGACUUUUUUACUUUUAAAAGAUUAAAUACAUCACUUUGUCUUUUGUUUUGUUGUCUGUGAAAGUAAUGCCAGUAUAGUCUUGGAGUGCAGAGUGUUUUUGUUGUCUGUGAAAGUAAUGCCAGUAUAGUCUUGGAGUGCGGAGUGUUUUUGUUGUCUGUGAAAGUAAUGCCAGUAUAGUCUUGGAGUGCAGAGUGUUUUUGUUGUCUGUGAAAGUAAUGCCAGUAUAGUCUUG
rnacentral:lncRNA from 13 species